UAACAGGAUUAGAUACCCUGGUAGUCCACGCCCUAAACGAUGAUCACUAGCUAUUGGAAAAACGAUAUUCAGUGGCUUAGCGAAAGCGAUAAGUGAUCCACCUGGGAAGUACAGUCGCAAGAUUGAAACUCAAAGGAAUUGACGGGGGUUCGCACAAGCGGUGGAGCAUGUGGUUUAAUUCGAUGAUACGCGAGGAACCUUACCAAGGCUUAAAUGUAUUACGAAUAAGCUGGAAACAGUUUAGUCUGUAUGACGUAUUACAAGGUGCUGCAUGGUUGUCUUCAGUUCGUGCUGUGAAGUGUUUGGUUAAGUCCUAUAACGAGCGCAACCCCUAUUGUUAGUUGCCAUCGGGUAAAGCCGGGGACUCUAACAAAACUGCCGGUGUAAACUGUGAGGAAGGUGGGGAUGAUGUCAAAUCAUCAUGGCCUCUAUGUCUUGGGCUACACACGUGCUACAAUGGCUGGGUUACAAAGGGUCGCCACUGGGUGACCAGGAGCUAAUCCUUAAAACCGGUCUAAGUUCGGAUUGGAGUCUGCAAUUCGACUCUAUGAAGCCGGAAUCGCUAGUAAUCGCACAUCAGCAAUGGUGCGGUGAAUAUGUUCUCGGACCUUGUACACACCGCCCGUCAAGCCAUGGGAGUCGGGAGUACCUGAAGUCAGUAAUCCUUCAGGGGUCUGCCUAAGGUAGACUUGAUGACUAGGGCUAAGUCGUAACAAGGUAACCAAUCGAAUUCCCGCGGC
rnacentral:rRNA from 1 species